GGCCCGCACAAGCGGUGGAGCAUGUGGUUUAAUUCGAUGCAACGCGAAGAACCUUACCUACACUUGACAUCCAGAGAACUUACUAGAGAUAGUUUGGUGCCUUCGGGAACUCUGAGACAGGUGCUGCAUGGCUGUCGUCAGCUCGUGUUGUGAGAUGUUGGGUUAAGUCCCGCAACGAGCGCAACCCUUAUCCUUAGUUGCCAGCGAUUUGGUCGGGAACUCUAAGGAGACUGCCGGUGAUAAACCGGAGGAAGGUGGGGACGACGUCAAGUCAUCAUGGCCCUUACGUGUAGGGCUACACACGUGCUACAAUGGCAUGUACAGAGGGUAGCGAACUUGCGAGAGUAAGCGGAUCCCAUAAACCGUGGCUCAGUUCAGAUCGUAGGCUGCAACUCGCCUACGUGAAGGCGGAAUCGCUAGUAAUCGCGAAUC
rnacentral:rRNA from 1 species